AGCGUACACGGUGGAUGCCCUGGCAGUCAGAGGCGAUGAAGGGCGUGCUAAUCUGCGAUAAGCGCCGGUAAGGUGAUAUGAACCGUUAUAACCGGCGAUACCCGAAUGGGGAAACCCAGUGUGAUUCGUCACACUAUCAUUAACUGAAUCCAUAGGUUAAUGAGGCGAACCGGGGGAACUGAAACAUCUAAGUACCCCGAGGAAAAGAAAUCAACCGAGAUUCCCCCAGUAGCGGCGAGCGAACGGGGAGGAGCCCAGAGCCUGAAUCAGCAUGUGUGUUAGUGGAAGCGUCUGGAAAGGCGCGCGAUACAGGGUGACAGCCCCGUACACAAAAGCGCAUGUGCUGUGAGCUCGAUGAGUAGGGCGGGACACGUGGUAUCCUGUCUGAAUAUGGGGGGACCAUCCUCCAAGGCUAAAUACUCCUGACUGACCGAUAGUGAACCAGUACCGUGAGGGAAAGGCGAAAAGAACCCCGGCGAGGGGAGUGAAAAAGAACCUGAAACCGUGUACGUACAAGCAGUGGGAGCACAGGUUUACCUGUGUGACUGCGUACCUUUUGUAUAAUGGGUCAGCGACUUAUAUUCUGUAGCAAGGUUAACCGAAUAGGGGAGCCGGAGGGAAACCGAGUCUUAAUUGGGCGUUAAGUUGCAGGGUAUAGACCCGAAACCCGGUGAUCUAGCCAUGGGCAGGUUGAAGGUUGGGUAACACUAACUGGAGGACCGAACCGACUAAUGUUGAAAAAUUAGCGGAUGACCUGUGGCUGGGGGUGAAAGGCCAAUCAAACCGGGAGAUAGCUGGUUCUCCCCGAAAGCUAUUUAGGUAGCGCCUCGUGAAUUCAUCUCCGGGGGUAGAGCACUGUUUCGGCUAGGGGGCCAUCCCGGCUUACCAACCCGAUGCAAACUGCGAAUACCGGAGAAUGUUAUCACGGGAGACACACGGCGGGUGCUAACGUCCGUCGUGAAGAGGGAAACAACCCAGACCGCCAGCUAAGGUCCCAAAGUCAUGGUUAAGUGGGAAACGAUGUGGGAAGGCCCAGACAGCCAGGAUGUUGGCUUAGAAGCAGCCAUCAUUUAAAGAAAGCGUAAUAGCUCACUGGUCGAGUCGGCCUGCGCGGAAGAUGUAACGGGGCUAAACCAUGCACCGAAGCUGCGGCAGCGACGCUUAUGCGUUGUUGGGUAGGGGAGCGUUCUGUAAGCCUGUGAAGGUGGCCUGUGAGGGUUGCUGGAGGUAUCAGAAGUGCGAAUGCUGACAUAAGUAACGAUAAAGCGGGUGAAAAGCCCGCUCGCCGGAAGACCAAGGGUUCCUGUCCAACGUUAAUCGGGGCAGGGUGAGUCGACCCCUAAGGCGAGGCCGAAAGGCGUAGUCGAUGGGAAACGGGUUAAUAUUCCCGUACUUGGUGUUACUGCGAAGGGGGGACGGAGAAGGCUAUGUUGGCCGGGCGACGGUUGUCCCGGUUUAAGCGUGUAGGUGUGUGUUCCAGGUAAAUCCGGUUCACUUUAACACUGAGGCGUGAUGACGAGGCACUACGGUGCUGAAGCAACAAAUGCCCUGCUUCCAGGAAAAGCCUCUAAGCAUCAGGUAACAUCAAAUCGUACCCCAAACCGACACAGGUGGUCAGGUAGAGAAUACCAAGGCGCUUGAGAGAACUCGGGUGAAGGAACUAGGCAAAAUGGUGCCGUAACUUCGGGAGAAGGCACGCUGACACGUAGGUGAAGUGAUUUACUCAUGGAGCUGAAGUCAGUCGAAGAUACCAGCUGGCUGCAACUGUUUAUUAAAAACACAGCACUGUGCAAACACGAAAGUGGACGUAUACGGUGUGACGCCUGCCCGGUGCCGGAAGGUUAAUUGAUGGGGUCAGCGCAAGCGAAGCUCCUGAUCGAAGCCCCGGUAAACGGCGGCCGUAACUAUAACGGUCCUAAGGUAGCGAAAUUCCUUGUCGGGUAAGUUCCGACCUGCACGAAUGGCGUAAUGAUGGCCAGGCUGUCUCCACCCGAGACUCAGUGAAAUUGAACUCGCUGUGAAGAUGCAGUGUACCCGCGGCAAGACGGAAAGACCCCGUGAACCUUUACUAUAGCUUGACACUGAACAUUGAGCCUUGAUGUGUAGGAUAGGUGGGAGGCUUUGAAGCGUGGACGCCAGUCUGCGUGGAGCCGACCUUGAAAUACCACCCUUUAAUGUUUGAUGUUCUAACGUGGACCCGU
rnacentral:rRNA from 1 species